CAUUUUCAGAUGUUUAUUUUUUGCGAAUGUGUGCAUUUGGCCGGAAAACAAUCUGACAUUCCACCUUGAGAUGUUAUUUGAGAGUUGUUCCGUCCUUAAAUGUAAAGCAAGGAUUUAAAACAGUGUGAGAAAAGGUUAACAUUGUCGCCUAUGGGAAAUGUAUUGGUGGACUGUAUACCCCAUAUAUAUUGAGUACGUCUAUUGGUUCAUGGUGAUACAGGAAAACUUCAAGGUUCCUGCAGAUGGUGUUUAAAACUAUUGGCCAGUGAACACAAACCCAUUUAAUUAUAUUUUGAACCUUCACCAGGAGAAAAAAGAUGGCAGUACUUCUAAUGCAAGCAGCUACUAGGGAAGAUUUAAUGAAGGAAGAUGAGGAAGUGGAGAAAAAGCUGAAGAACAAGGAGGACAAGGGCACAGUGACUUGCAGUGUGUGUCAUGUAACAUUAUUACAACAUCUAUAUCAUGGGUCCAUAAUUUUAAGUAAGUCAUUCAUCAACCACUUUAUCUGUACUGGAAACCAUUUCUGAGAGGGAUGAAGUGAUGGAAGAUAAUGAGCCAGAGGGUGGAACGGAAGAGAAAGGGAAAGAAAUAAAGAAAAAGGCAGAAUGAAAAAGGACUAGAACUUGCAAUAGAAGAAAAAGUUGAGGAAAUGAAGAGGAAGAAAUUGAAGAUGAAAAGAAGAGCUCUGGGAGGAAAAAAUUCCAUUUGUAAGAUGUGUGGACAAAAGAAAAACAGCCAUAGAGUGCCGAUGUGGAGUGGAAUAAGUCAGUAUGACUUAAACAUGGUCAAUUGAAGUGUUUGAAUGCCCCUCCAGAAAGCAGAACAAUCUUUGAAUUUGCAGGAAAGAGUAUAAAAUUUGCUGUUAAAAUAUCAUAACAGCUAGACAAAGAUUAAAUAACAACUACAUGUACAUCUAAAGAAUUCUUUUGUCAUAAUAGUGAUUCAUGUGCUAGUACAUGUGACAAGUGCUAUAACGACCUAAUAUAAGUGUGUUUUAGGAGCAUGUUGACUCUAUUGUAAAUGUAUUGACUCCUUAUAUGACCUCAUUUAUAUAUAACAUUAUAUGAAUGGUAGUGUAGUGACUUGAAAUGUGUGUUAGUAGUAUAGCUCGUUAUGUGUGGUAAUUUUGUUAUUUGUUUUACAUGUAUGAUAGUACAUAUAGUAUGGUGACUCAUGUGUUGGGAAUUAAUGUAUAAUUUUAUGUGUGUUACUGGUAUAACUCAUAAUGUGUGUAAAUAUUGUUUUUUGUAAUAUAUAUUAGUAGUGUAGUGACUCGACAUGUGUGUAAGUAGUGUAGUGACUCGACAUGUGUGUUAUGAGUGUAGCUUAUGAUGUGUGGUUAUUUUGUGUACGUAUGUAGUAUGGUGACUCAUGUGUUAGGAAUGUAUAAUUUUAUGUAUGUUACUGAUAUGCCUCAUCGAGUGAUUUAAAAUGGUUAUUUGUAAUGUAUAUAUUAGUAGUAAAGUGACUCGACAUGUGUGUUAGUAGUGUAGUGACUCGACAUGUGUGUUAGUAGUGUAGCUUAUUAUGUGUGGUAAUUUUGUUAUUUGUUAUGUGAGUUGUACAUGUAGUAUGGUGACUCAUGUGUUGGGAAUGUAUAAUUUUAUGUGUGUUACUUGUAUAACUCAUUGUGUGUGUUUUAAUAUAGUUAUUUGUAGUGUAUAUAUUAGUAUUGUAGUGACUCCACAAGUAUGUUAGUGUGUAGUGACAUGACAUGUGUGUUAGUAGUGUAGUGACUCGACAUGUGUGUUUGAAGUGUAGCUUAUUAUAUGUGGUAUUUUUGUUAUAUGUUAUGGUUGUUGUAUAUGUAGUACGGCAACUCAUGUGUUGGGAAAGUAUAUUUUAAUUUGAUGUGUGUUACUGGUAUAGCUCAUUGUGUGUUUUAAUAAUUUUUUUUGUAAUGUAUAUUUUAUUAGUGUAGUGACUCGACAUGUGUGUUAGUAGUGUAGUGACUCGACAUGUGUGUUAGUAGUGUAGUGACUCGACAUGUGUGUUAGUAGUGUAGCUUAUUAUGUGUGGUAAUUUUGUUAUUUGUUAUGUGUGUUGUACAUGUAGUAUGGUGACUCAUGUGUUGGGAAUGUAUUAUUAUAUUCUUGCUCCAAAAGAUACUGUUUUACCCUUGUCUGUCUAGCUGUGUGUGUGUCUGUCUGACUGUCCAUAACAAAUUUUUGGUCACAGUUUUCUCAGCAACUACUCAUUGCAGAUGCUUGAAAUUUUAGCAUACUCUUUGUUUAGGCUUGGUGGGAAUCAUUUUCAUACAAAUCUGAUGUCAACUUCCUGUUUAUCCAUGUGUCUGUCCAUACCACACAUAACACAUUUUCGUCGCAGUUUUCUAAGCACUACUUAUUGCUUGAAAUUUUAGCACACUCAUUGCUGAGGCAUGUCAUAUGGUGGGAUUCAUUUUUGUAUGAAUUUGAUGCCAACUUCCUUUUUAUCUGUGCGUCUGUCUGUACCAUACAUAACGAAUUUUUUUCGCAGUUUUUUCAGCAAUUACUCAGAGCAGAUGCUUGAAAUUUUAGCACAUUCUUUAUUUUGGCAUGCCAUAUCGUGGGAUUUAUUUUUGUACAAGUCUGAUGUCAACUUCCUGUUUAUCUGUGUGUCUGUCUAUACCAUAUAUAACAAAUAUUUGUUGCAGUUUCUCAUCAACUACUUAUUGCAGAUGCAUGAAAGUUUACACACUCUUUGUUUAGGCAUGCCAUAUGAUGGGAUUCAUUUCUGAAUUUGAUGUCAACUUCCUGUUUAACUGUGCAUCUGUCUGUAUAAUAUGGAACAAAUUUUUGUCAAAGUUUUCUCAGCAACAACUCAUUGCAGAUGCUUGAAAUUUUAGCACACUCUUUGUUGACGCAUAAUUGUCAUAUGGUGGGAUUCAUUUUUGUAUGAAUCUGAUGUCAACUUCCUGUUUAUUCAUGCAUCUGUCCAUAGUUGAACUUGUGAAUAUACACAUGAUAGUGUAUAUUCAAAUCACAGCGGAGGUAUUACCAGUGAGCAUUGGCUCACAGACUUCUUGUUUUAUGUGUGUUACUGGUAUAGCUCAUCAUGUGAUUUAAUGUUGUUAUUUGUAAUGUAUAUAUUAGAAGUGUAGUGACUCGACAUGUGUGUUAAUAGUGUAGUGACUCGACAUGUGUGUUUGUAGUGUAGCUUUUUAUGUGUGGUAAUUUUGUUAUUUGUUAUGUAUGUUGUACAUUUAGUAUGUUGACUCAUUACGUGUUGGGAAUAUGUGAUUUUAUGUGUGUUAUUGGUAAAGCUCCUCAUGUGUUCUUAUAUUGUUAUUUGUAAUAUACAGUGAAACUUGUCUUAUUCGGAUGUUGUGUACUCCAAAAACUUGACUUAUACAAUGUUAACUUUAAGUCACCUGCAGUAGACUCAAUUGUUUUAAAUGUUGUCUAAUCCGGAAUGUCGUCUAAUCCAGCGAAUUUCUCGACAUGUGUGUAAGUAGUGUAGUGACUCGACAUGUGUGUAAGUAGUGUAGUGACUCGACAUGUGUGUUAUGAGUGUAGCUUAUGAUGUGUGGUAAUUUUGUUAUUUGUUAUGUGAGUUGUACAUGUAGUAUGGUGACUGGUGUGUCGGGAUUGUAUAAUAUUAAAUGUGUUACUUGUAUAACUCAUUGCGCGAUUUAAAACUGUUAUUUGUAAGGUAUAUAUUAGAAGUGUAGUGACUCGAUAUGUGUGUAAGUAGUGUAGUGACUCAACAUGUGUGUAAGUAGUGUAGUGACUCGGCAUGUGUUUUAUGAGUGUAGCUUACGCAGGUGAGUUAAGGCUAGGUAUAGGCAUUUCUAUUGAAAUAAACUAAUUCAAGUGCCUAAGAACUAUAUCUAUUUUACAGAGAAAGUUAAAACUUAUUGUCUAAUUCAUACUUGGUACCCACGACAUGAGAUAGCCAGUACACAUUAUGACGUCAUAUUAUGACGUCAUUGUUCUUUACUGCACAAGAUUAUAAUGGACUUCAACAAAAAUGCUUCGGCGCAAGGGCAUGCUGUAUUUUAUUUAACUGAAACAAGGUAUAUUUUGAAGCAAAAUAUUCCAAAGAUUGUUGGUAUUGCUGCACAAAUAUCAACAGCUCAGUUGUAUAAUUUCUAUUUGUAAAGUUUUAAGUUGAAUCAGGGUGAAAAUACACAGUCCGGUAUAAGUUUCCUCAAAUUCCAAUCAAAUGAGAAAAUGCCUAGGAUUUGUGCAGCAGUUUUAUUAAUCUAUAGAAUAUUCUUCUUAGCAUUAUACAAUUUUUAUGUAAAAAUAAAUAGGGUAAUCCCUUGCGCCGAAGCUGUUUUGUUGAUGCGUUUUAUUGCCUCCAGUAGGUAAGAACAAUGACGUCAUAAUAUAUACUGGCUAUAACAUAUCGCGGGUACUAAGUAUGCAUAAGAAAAUAAAUCAAAACUUUCUCGGAAUAAUAGAUAUACCUCUUAUGCAUUUUUAUUAGCUCAUUUGCAUAGAAACGCCUAUACCUAGCCUUAACUCACAUGCGUAUGAUGUAUGGUAAUUUUGUUAUUUGUUAUGUGAGUUGUACAUGUAGUAUGGUGACUGGUGUGUCGGGAUUGUAUAAUUUUAAAUGUGUUACUUGUAUAACUCAUCGUGCGAUUUAAAACUGUUAUUUGUAAGUUAUAUAUUAGAAGUGUAGUGACUCGACAUGUGUGUAAGUAGUGUAGUGACUCGACAUGUGUGUUAGUAGUGUAGUGAAUCAACAUGUGUGUUAGUAGUGUAGCUUAUUAUGUGAGGUUAUUUUGUUAUUUGUUAUGUGAGUCGUACAUGUAGUAUGGUGACUCAUGUGUUGGGAAUGUAUAAUAUUAUGUGUGUUACUUGUAUUGCUCAUCGUGUGAUUUAAAAUUGUUAUUUGUAAGGUAUAUAUCAGUAGUGUAGUGACUCAACAUGUGUGUAAGUAGUGUAGUGUCUUGACAUGUGUGUAAGUAGUGUAGUUACUUGACAUGUGUGUUAGUUCUGUAGUGACUCGACAUGUGUGUUAGUAGUGUAGCUUAUUAUGAGUGGUACUUUUGUUAUUUGUUAUGUGAGUUGUACAUGUAGUAUGGUGACUCAUUUGUUGGGAAUGUAUAAUUUUAUGUGUGUUACUGGUAUAGCUCAUUGUAAGUUUUAAUAUUGUUACAUGUAUUUGUAAUACUUAUUUUGUAUUGUUAUUUUGAUUUGUUUGUUGUACAUGUAGCAUGGGAUUCAUUUUGUGUUGGGAAUGUAGAAUUUUACCUGCGGUAGUGUACAUGUAGCUCAUUUUGUGUGCUAAUAUUGUUAUUUUUAUGUGUAAUAGUCAUGUAGUGACUCAAUAUGUGUGUAAGUAGUGUAGCUCAUUAUGUGUUUUCAUGUUGAGUUAGUUUAGAAGAGUGUUGACUUACUGUGUAAGUUAGAGUAGCCUCUUGCUAUGUGUGAGCAUAAUAUAAAAAGACACUUUUUUAUGAUGUGUAUAUAAUUAUUAAAACAUUGCUAAAUAUAAUAUUAUAUCAACCUCUAUUGAUAAACUUGCAUGUGUUUGAAUUUCUAAUGUAAUGUAAGCUACAUGAAUAGAUCAUAUUUUGACUGAAUUUUGAAUGAGCACAAUUUGUGAUGAUUUUUAUUUUUGAAAUAAACAGAAAUUUAAUUUUC